rnacentral:rRNA from 1 species
UUAAUGUCUUGUAAUUGGAAUGAUGGGAAUUUAAACCUCUUCCAGAGUAUCAAUUGGAGGGCAAGUCUGGUGCCAGCAGCCGCGGUAAUUUCCAGCUUCCAAUAGCGUAUAUUAAAAUUGUUGCAGUUAAAAAGCUCGUAGUUGAAUUUCUGCUGCAUUACAUAUCUCUUGUUUGAGUUUGUUUUUGUGGCUUAUUUCGGUUUGAUUUUUUCUUUCCGGAUGAUUACUUUGAGAAAAUUAGAGUGCUCAAAGCAGGCUUUUGCCUUGAAUAGUUUAGCAUGGAAUAAUAAAGUAGGACUUUGGUUCUAUUUUGUUGGUUUUAGGUACCAAAGUAAUGGUUAAUAGGAACAGUUGGGGGCAUUCGUAUUUA